AUACGUAGGGGGCGAGCGUUGUCCGGAAUGAUUGGGCGUAAAGGGCGCGUAGGCGGCCCGGUAAGUCUGGAGUGAAAGUCCUGUUUUUAAGAUGGGAAUUGCUUUGGAUACUGUCGGGCUUGAGUGCAGGAGAGGUAAGUGGACUUACCAGUGUAGCGGUGAAAUGCGUAGAGAUUGGGAGGAACACCAGUGGCGAAGGCGACUUACUGGACUGUAACUGACGCUGAGGCGCGAAAGUGUGGGGAGCAAACAGGAUUAGAUACCCUGGUAGUCCACACUGUAAACGAUGAAUGCUAGGUGUAGGGGGUAUCGACCCCUUCUGUGCCGCAGUCAACACAAUAAGCAUUCCGCCUGGGGAGUACGGCCGCAAGGUUGAAACUCAAAGGAAUUGACGGGG
rnacentral:rRNA from 1 species